GACAGAGGAGCCAAGCGUUGUCCGGAUUGACUGGGCGUAAAGCGCACGCAGGCGGCUCUGUGCGUGGGGUGUGAAAGCUCUUGGCUUAACUGAGAGAGGCCAUCCCAUACGGCAGAGCUCGAGUCAUGCAGAGGUCCGUGGAAUUGCCGGUGUAGUGGUGAAAUGCGUAGAGAUCGGCAGGAACACCCAGGGGGAAACCAGCGGACUGGGCAUGAGCUGACGCUCAGGUGCGACAGCGUGGGGAGCGAACCGG
rnacentral:rRNA from 1 species